GAUGAACGCUGGCGGCGUGCCUAAUACAUGCAAGUCGAGCGAACAGACGAGGAGCUUGCUCCUCUGACGUUAGCGGCGGACGGGUGAGUAACACGUGGAUAACCUACCUAUAAGACUGGGAUAACUUCGGGAAACCGGAGCUAAUACCGGAUAAUAUAUUGAACCGCAUGGUUCAAUAGUGAAAGACGGUUUUGCUGUCACUUAUAGAUGGAUCCGCGCCGCAUUAGCUAGUUGGUAAGGUAACGGCUUACCAAGGCAACGAUGCGUAGCCGACCUGAGAGGGGGAUCGGCCAACCUGGAACGGAGACCGGGUCCAGACCCCUACGGGGGGCAGCAGUGGGGAAUCUUCCGCAAGGGGCGAAAGCCUGACGGAGCAACGCCGCGUGAGGUAUGAAGGUCUUCGGAUCGUAAAACUCUGUUAUUAGGGAAAAAAAAAUGUGUAAGUAACUAUGCCCGUCUGGACGGUACCAAAUCAGAAAGCCACGGCUAACUACGU
rnacentral:rRNA from 1 species